ensembl:lncRNA
UAAAAAACUGAAUUUGAUAAAUUAAUUUGCGUACUACUAAGCUGUUUUUUCAACCCACAAUGGCGGAAGGAGGAGAAGAUAUCGAUUUGGUCAAGGAUAUAAUUAUAACGCCAUUCUCAAGACGAACUUUUCAAGAAAAGUUAAACAUUGUAUGGAGAGGUCGCCCAACGCCGACGCUACAAAGCCUGUCACAAGCGGGAAAGGGGUUCGUUCGCCACUUUCAAAGUUCCAACUACGAGCGCUAUCAAUGGCUCACAGGCUCCAAGAAGCACUGCAAACUGUACUGCUGGGAAUGCCUAUUAUUACAAUUGAGCGAGAGAGAGGCGCAGGUUCAGUCAAAUCUACGAUGACACAAAGCGCAUCUCAAGUUUACCCAGCGCUCAGCACAAGGAGACCCUCGCACAUACCAACAACUCCACAGCAAUAUUCUGGACAACAUUUUUGCCAGAAACGAAACAGGUUUCAAGACCACGAAAAAUGUGUUUCUCUCCCUCCUGGACCCCCAGCACUUUCAGACCUACCGGAAAAAAAUUCCCGCAAACAGUCUUCUCCAGCUUAACAGAGUCACGGAACACUGUUCGACCUAUCCAAGCUAAAAACAGAACUGACUGUAAUGUAUGCUAUGACUGAUUUUGAAGGGAAAAGUCCCUCUGAUCUCCUUGAUUUCCUUAAGCAGAAACAUCUGAGUGAGGGCAUGGGGCAACUUUACACAUUGGCAUGUGUGACAGUGACUAUCCCUGUGUCCACGGCUUCUGUCGAGCGGUCAUUCUCGGCCUUAAAGCGAAUCAAAACGUAUUCCAGAAAUGCUACUGGACAGGCUCGGCUUUCAGCAUUAGCCUCCAUGUCGAUAGAAAGGGACUUAUUGGUGGAACUAAAACGCACAGAUAGACUGUACAACAGAGUCAUUGAAGUCUUCUUGAGGAAAGAAAGGAGGAUGGAUUUUGUGUUCAAAUAAUCAGUCUUUGGUGAGUAGGCAUACAAUGCAUUUGAUUUUUUAUUAAAUGUGUAUGUAUGUUUCGCAUUUUAUUUCGUUAAUAUUAAAUAGCCUAUAUAUUAACAAAAUAAAAUGGCAAAUUUAUUUGUUUUCUUUUUAUUUUCAGUGAAUAGUUUGUCUUUAUCAUCACGGUGAAACUGCUUUGGGUGCGACAAUGCGCUGUUUAGUGAACACACUGUAUUUUAUUUUUUGGGGACUUAAAGCUCAAAGUUUGUGGACCAGAAAUGGAUAGAAGAAGAAUAUUAAUAUAACUCUUUUGCACUCGACUAUGUUCUUGCCUAUUAGUUGAACUGUACUGUAUUGUACUCUUCCCCUGCAAUUCUAUGAAUAAAAAUGUCAAUUUCAAGGUGACGCAACGCCUGGUUAUACUGCGUUUCUAUCUAAAUGUAUAGUGUCUAGAGCCAUGGCAUCAUAAUGAUGGUAAUACGAGGUGGAUUCAUUCGGGUGGGACUGUGUAGGACCUCACUGAAGGCCCACGGCACGCCACUGCGAACCAGUGCACACAUCAACAACAGUCACCCACGAAGCAUCGUUACCCAUCGCUCCACAAAAGCCGCGGCCCUUGCAGAGCAAGGGGAACCACUACUUCAAGGUCUCAGAACCACUACUUCAAGGUCUCGGUGACGUCACCGAUUGAAACGCUAUUUAGUGCGCACCACGGCUGACUAGCUAGCCGUUUCACAUCCGUUACAUAUGCAGAACUGAGCGAUUUCUUCUCUGGGCCAGCGGUUUUUGGUCUUCAUUUAACGUUCGAGGUACGCAUUAGGGUUAGCAGUGUGGAUAAGGUUAGGUUUAAAAUCCGUUUUUAUGACUUUGUGGCUGACGUCUCUGCAGAACUGCCUCCAAGGUUGUAUUUGGAAAAAGGUAGCUAUGUUAACACACUCUCUAUCAUUCAUCAGUAUUAAUGCCCCCCCCAGCUAUAGAAUGAUCUUUACAUUGAAUAAUCUAAUGUGUAUGUAUCUGUGAUUUUAAAAUCAAAGUUGACCCAUGAUACUGGUAUCCUUUUGUCUCUUCCACUGGAUGGCCGAUGUGAUGAGUUUUCUGUUCUGGCCAACAGUGUAAUCCUCCUCUGCCUGUUUGUGUGAAUACAUCUCACUGUUUCUCUCAGUUGCAAUGAAGGACAUGUGUUUCCUGUGUAACGACACAAAGUGCCCAGAGGUGACAAAAUGUUUUGAUCAUAAUGGUGACCUGAACCAGAAUCUGCUGACGAUGCCAGGUCCUUUCCAGCAAUGCACAUCCACCCCCUAUCCUCCUUCUGGGAGGUGCACCAUUUGUAGUCUGGAUUAUUAUUAUUACACGCUGUGCAGAAACGUCUCAGAGAGCAUCCAGCCUGCCCUGGAGGCCAACAGCACAGCCAUUACCAACUAUGAACAAGCCAAUUGCCCUGUCAUCAGCAUCGCACCAACUACUGUGAAUGGUUCAGACUUCACUGGAGCUGCUGCUCAAUAUGGACAUCCUGGGGGUGAACUGUGGUGGUGUUUACUGAUCCUCGUCCUGGUCGUUGUUUGCAUUGGCAUCAUUGCUUACAGGUGUAUCAAAAAGCGCAAAAUAGAAAACCUUGUCAUAUAAGGCACUCAGGACUACCCAUCCCUUAGCCAAGCUAUUUGGACCCAACCACCAGAGACUGGGACAACCCUCAGGACUACCCAAACCCCCAGAUCAGGAUGCUGCUGCAUUAUCUCUGCCUUAAUUCCAUCACUUUAACUCUUCUUAAAGUUGUAAUCUUUUAAUACAUUUUCAUAUUCAGAUUCUUGUCAAUCACUACCAUUAAACUAGUGCCUUG